rnacentral:lncRNA from 1 species
CAUAGAUCUGGGUGUUGCAGAGAUCUUAAGACUAGAGCUGCUAAAAGCAUGAUGGAGGAAACGAAGCUCAAAUAUAAUUAUGUUUAAUAAAAUGUAAUAUUUUGAAAAUGAGCCUUAUCAUAGGAAACAGAAAACUGCUGAAAUGUGAUUUUUAAUUCUUAAUCUAAGUGGCCUUGCCUAAAUGCCAGAGGGUUGGCUGUUCCUCACAAGGAUGGAUUCACGGGCCAUGUUUCCUUUGAAAGUAAUGCAUAGGUAGUGAAGACAUCUACAUUCUAUCUCCUGUCCACUCACUUUGCUUCCUCUCUCCUGCCUAGGAAUUGCUCUAAGUCAUCUCCUGUUUCCUAUAGUAGUUGCAAGUUACCUGGUUUCAUGGUGCUUCUCUUGAGGUUCUGUGCCUCCUGGUGACAAGAACCUACCCUUCCCUGAGAGAAGGAUGCUGGUGGCAGCAACAUGUCUGGAAAUCCCCAUCAGGAACAUACAUGGGAGAUGACAGUGGAGCAGCCAUUUAGAGAGUGAAUGCCAGGCAACAGCACAGCUCACAGGGCCUCCUCCACCCAGUGUCACAAAACACAUCACCCUCCCUUUGGACUAAUAUAUUUGCCCUCCUUUCUCUACUUCCUUUUUAGCUGGAAGUUCCAAGAAAAUGUGUUUUGUGAAACAAUGGAAUUUUCUUGGUCCCUGAAUUUAUCUUGAGGUGAAAUGAUAGUAGUUAAAUUCCCAGAUUUUACAGAGAGGAGAAAGAUACCUUGAGGACCCAAACAAGUACAGCCAUGUUCAAGUGGGUUUGAAGUGGUAUCUAUGAUGGUUUUGACUUGCAUCUUC